rnacentral:lncRNA from 8 species
AGAAUGACCCUAACCCACAUUAUGGUGGCUGAGUGGGCUUGCAGUACGAGGCAGAGGGAGACUCCUCCAACUUCUCCCUACCAUGGAACACAGGCACAGGUGUCCAGGGAGAGGUUUGAGACCAUCUACCACGACUACAGUUCCUGGGGGCUGAUAGGGACACCAUACAAGACAUAGACACCUGAACCGACCUCCUCUUCAGGGCAACGUUUUGCAUCGAGUGACCCUGGCAGCCAAUCAAAGGUGGGUAGAAGAAUAGAAUGCCGCAUUUAAAAUGUAUUAUGUACUGUAUUUCUGUCAAAAUUUGCUAAAAUUUGUCUAAUCGCUUUUGGAAUUUCUGAUGCUCCCAGAAUGUCUAGCUUUCAUUUCAAUGACUGUUAGCAACCUGGACAAAGUGAAGAGACUAUAAAUGUAGGUACAAUAUCAUUUCUACAAACUUUUG